rfam:Asian citrus Psyllid, Diaphorina citri - Florida Strain, whole genome shotgun sequence.
GCCUAGUUAGCUUAGUUGGUAGUGCGUCUGCCUUGUAAGCGCUAGAACGCGGGUUCGAUUCCCGCCCGGGGCG